CUCCCACUAAUUCCUCUCUCCCACGCCUCUCACUCGAUCUCUCAUUACACUCAAGACUCCUCCAUCUUCCAAUACUGUCACUCUCUCUCAUCCCUCACAAACUCCUCCCAUCUGUCCCCCUCUGCAACUCUCCUUCUCCCUCUCGGCAAAACCCACCGUAUCACCUCCAAACACCAUCCAAACUCACCCAAAAAUCAAAGCGGUCAAGGCGGUGGAGAAGUGGGUUAAUGGUUCUGUGUUCUUCUUGAUAAUUGUAUGUCUGUUCUCAACUCCAUUGAUUGUGACACACAACAACAAUUUGCGAUGUGCUCCAAAUAUUUGCAAAUUCAAGAACACUGAAGCAAAUUAUUCUCUCCAUAGUGCUCAAGCCGAUGACAGCCGGCAUGCUAUUGCUAUUUUACAACAAAACAUUAUUUAAACUAUUUUUUUAAAAAAUAAACAAGAUAAUAACGAUGCACUCAUUCAAAGUUCUCUAUCUAGCUAAGAAUGUUGGUAGUGGUGAAGUCCUACUGAAUUGCUGAAAAAAAGGUCCUCUCCAAUUGGUUUGAACCAAACUCCAAUCCAAAA
rnacentral:sRNA from 1 species